GACGAACGCUGGCGGCGUGCUUAACACAUGCAAGUCGAACGGAAAGGCCCUGCUUUUGUUGUGUGCUCGAGUGGCUAACGGGUGAGUAACACGUGAGUAACCUGCCCUUGACUUUGGGAUAACUUCAGGAAACUGGGGCUAAUACCGGAUAGGAGCUCCUGCUGCAUGGUGGGGGUUGGAAAGUUUCGGCGGUUGGGUAUGGACUCGCGGCUUAUCAGCUUGUUGGUGGGGUAGUGGCUUACCAAGGCUUUGACGGGUAGCCGGCCUGAGAUGGUGACCGGCAAAAUUGGGACGGAGAUACGGACAAGAAUCCUACGGGAGGCAGCAGUGGGGAAUAUUGCACAAUGGGCGGAAGCAUGAUGCAGAAACGCCGGGUGCGGGAUGACGGCCUUCGGGUUGUAAAACGAUUUCGAAUGUGACGAAGCGUGAGUGAAGGUAAUGGGUAAAGAAGCACCGGCUAACUACGUG
rnacentral:rRNA from 1 species